ACAUGAGCACCUCACGGCCGCCGCAGCAGAUUGUACAAUAUGACUGAUAUCCAUCGUCGUCAUAUUGGUACGCGCACUCCAGGAAGCAGUUCUGGGGGCAGUGAGAGGGGCGUGAACACUACAUCCCCUCCACACCCCUCCACCCCAGGGGACGGCCCACAGCACAGACGCAGGGCUCUGCACCUGGCCAUGGGGACGCUGCCCAGAGUACUCCACCCUCGGGCUGCCCUGCUGGGCUAGGGAGCAGAACCCCUGCAGCUGACGCGCUGGGCUUCUGCGGCCCGGGCUGGCCUGCUGCGGGAGCCUGCCUCGAGGGGAAAUUCUUCGAGCAGAGGGAUAAAAGGACCUGGAAAUGCUUCAAGACAGCAAAGGGAUGGAACCCCAGGAGAAGAGGAGGUUACUCACCUGUAACUGGAGGUUCUUCGAGACAGGUGGUCCCUACCUGCAUUCACUGAGGGGUUAUGCAUGCGGCAUGCGCCUGGAGCUGGAGCAUUUGGAAGCAGGCGUGUCUGUUGGUGCAUGCGCCCUUGCGUCACCUCAUGGUUUUGUCUGAGGUGAUAACGGGUGGGGCAGAGUGACCACGCCCUCUGUUCCUCCACCAGAUGUGCAGCAGAGGGGCUGGAGGGCGGGCAGUGGAAUCCCGAGGGGAGGGAGGAACGGAGGACAGCCGUGCAGAGUCCCGCACCAAGGUGCGGCCAACUCCACGUAUGUCUGGAAGCGACACAUCGGGGAGAGUGCUGCAGUCGACGUGUGGGCUCUCACUCCAAGUCCCGUCAAUGGAGAGCAGAGUGUAAUACAACCCAAAAACUGCUUGACAAUCCUGCCUGCUCCUUAAGCCUUGCAGCUAUUGCAAUAAACGGUCUAGGGCAGCGGUUCUCAAAGAUUAGCAACCCCAGGACCCUCAGUUUGAUUUAAAAAUUUUUGAGACCCCCUGCCCUGUCUGUUCACUGAGGCCCCACCCCCACUCGCUCCAUUCCCCUUCCCUCUGUUGUUUGCUCUCCCCCACCCUCACCCACUUUCACCAGGCUGAGGCAUGGGUUGGGGUGCAGGUUGGGGCCCAGGGGUGGGGAAGGGGGUUGGGUGUGGGGGGGUGCAGAGUGCAGGCUCUGGGAAGGAGUUUGGGUGCAGGAGGGGACUCUGGGCUGGGGUGCAGGUGGGGACUCAGGGGUGGGGCAGAGGGUUGGGUGUAGGGGGUGCGGAGUGCGGGCUCUGGGAAGCAGUUUGGGUGCAGGAGGGGACUCUGGGCUGGGGAAGGGGGCUGGGGUGCAGAUGGGGGCUCAGGGCUGGGGCAGGAGGUUGGGUGUGGGGGGUGCAGAGUGUGGGCUCUGGGAAGGAGUUUGGGUGCGGGAGGGGACUCUGGGCUGGGGAAGGGGGUUGGGGUGCGGGAGAGCGUUUGGGGUGCGGGGGCCUGGUAGCACUUACCACAGCUCCUAGGAAGCAGCUGCCAGGUCCCUGCAGCCCCUAGACCAGUGGUUCCCAAAAAUGUUACAGGGGGUUCUCGGGAAAAAAUUCCCUAUGGCGGACAGAGCUGUCCCUAGGGAUCCCAGACAGCACGGGGCCAGCAGCCCGGAGCCCCUGGACUUCCAAGAGCUAAGCAUAUCAAAGCGAGCAUCUCUACCCCACUGAGGAGAGUUAAACUUCAAGACUCCUUAUAAGAAAUGGAAAGGGAGGUGGAUUUUUUGUUGUUGCUGUUUUUAAAAUGAAACAGGCAGCUAGGAUUGUUUUUAAAUUAUUAUGAAGAACAAGUUUAAGCUUUGUUGUAAGGUGCGUUGUUUGCCUGGACUGCUCAAGCCCUGAAUGCUUGUGUAGGAGGAACUCUGAGUUGGCUUCUUAAAUCCCUUCCUGCUGUUUCACAUCUGAUACUCCUUGAUGAAACACAGGAGCCUUGUCUUGUAACAGGCUUAUUCAAAGUGAUACAAGCUACGAACGUGAGAUCUUGUCAGAGUGUUGCCGUUUUCAUAAUGUAAUAAAAAUACUGCAAUGAUAAAUAAUAAUUAAUAAUAAAUAGUGUGUAAUAAACAUGUCAUAAUAACAAAUGGUAUAUUUCCAAGAUCACUGCUUUUAUAAUUUAUACUCAGAUAAAGGAAAAAAUCCCUGGAAAUAUUCGUUUUUAGGAGAAGGUUCUUGAGACUUGACAUUUUAAUGAAAGGGGUUCACAGGAUGUUAAAGUUUGGGAACCGCUGCCCUAGACGCAUGGGCGGCCAGGGAGGCUCUGUGCGCUGCCCUUGUGACCACAUACGCCGUCCCCACAGCUCCCAUUGGUCACGGUUCCUGGUUUAUGGGAGCUGCGGAGCCGGCACUUGGGCGGGGGCAGCGUGCGGAGCCUCCCUGGCCACCCAUGAGCCUAAGGGCCGCAAGGAGCUGGUGGCCACUUCCAGGCAGGUAGGGAACCUGCCUUAGCCCCGGGCCCCCAAUGCGCUGGGAGGGAGGGGGAGGAGUUGAUCAGCAGGGCCUGCGGACUCCCUGGAUCCCAGUUUGAGAAACGCUGGGGACCUCCUGAUAGGUCUCGUCCUUGGCAUGUAGAAGGUCAGAGCCCUGCGGACGUCGAAGGAGUGAAGGUGCUGCUCCUCUGCCGAGGCGUGAGGCUUUGGGAAGAAAGCAGAUGAGUGUACGGGGUGGUUGAGAUGAAACUGAGCUAUGACCUUUGGUAGAAACUUGGGAGUGCAGGCGCAGGAAGACUUUAUCCUUAUGGAACGUGGUGAAAGAGGGGGCCCUCCAUCAUGGCCCCCAGUUCGCCUUCCCUUCUCGCCGAAGUGACAGCCACUAGGAAGGAGACUUUCAUGGAAAGGAGGGACAUAGAGCAUAAAGCCAGAGGCUCGAAGGGCGGUUUCAUUAACGCCGCUAGAACGAGGUUGAGGUCCCACUGGGGAGUGAUAGGCUGGAUGGGUGGGAAAGUCCUGAAGAGACCUUUCCAAAACCUGGUAGUCAAUGGAUGUGUAAAUAUGGAGUGUGCUUCCAUGGGGCGGUGGAAGGUACUGAUUGCCACUACAUGAACCUUGAGAGAACUGAGGGCGAGCCCUGAUGUCUUCAAGGGCAAGAGGCUGUCAAAAGAAGAGAAAUGCCCACUUCCUUAGGGGAAAGCCCUUUUGCUGGGACCAAAGGCCAAGUGAUUCUCCUUGGCUCAACAGGAACGCCUCGUGGACUCCCUCCUGCUGCUCGAAAGGCUAUCAUGCCCCACCGACGAACAUUCUCGUUCUAGAGAAGAUGCCCAUCCAAAUACCAAGCUUUGAGGUGAAGUGUCUGUGGAUUGGGAUGUCUGAUCCUGCUGUUGUGUUGCGGGUAGGGGAAGUGAGGGACAGGCUGACAGAAGAAGAUGGUUGGGAAACCAAAACUGGGGUGGCCAGACCGGGGCCCUCUCCUGCCUGAUCUUUUGGAGGACUGGUGGGAGGAGAGGAGGAGGGGAAGAAGUAGUUGAUCUGGUCUGACCAGUGGAGGAAGAGGCAUCGCCUUGAGCAGUACAUGCUGCAUGUCGUUGUUGCUGUGGAAGGCAAAGAGGUUUCUGGUGGGAGUCCCCCACUGGCUGAAGAUGUUGUUUACUACAGAGUCGUGCAUCUCCCACUCGUGACUGGAGAUGAAUCUUCGGCUAAGAGUCUGCACUCACGUUCAGAAUCCCCAGAAGAUAGACUGCCAACAACAGGCUCUUGUGGGCAAUGCACCAAUCCCGCAGACUGACCACUUCUGCACACAGACCUCCUGCCCCCUGGUCUGUGAUGUAAUAGAUGGUGGUGUCCAACACGACGAGAACAUGAUGCGAGCGAAUGGAUGGGAGAAAUGCUUGACACGCUUGCCGUACUGCCCGGAGUUCCAGAAGGUUGAGGUGCAUCCUGAAUUCCCGAGGGGUCCAUGUCCCUUGCAUCAUGUGAUGGGCCAUGUGUGCUCCCCAUCCUGUGAGGGAUGUGUCCUGUCCAGGGAGGAUGGGGAUCCCUGUACAGACCUGCUGCGGGUCCAUUCACCACUGGAGGGAAGAGAACACCUUGGGGGGGACUGACAACAUAAAGCCUGUGGCACAUAGAGUGUGAGAGUUUCAUGGGGUAGGUACAACCUGUCAUGGGGUGUCAGGUCACAUAUAGUCAGAAGAAAAGGAAAGGCAGUGCCACAGCCGGAUAGGUCCUACGCUGGUGACCCUGACCAUAAAGUGUGGUAGUACGGCCUAGUGGCUGGAGUCGCCCCUCCUCAUGGGGCUGUAUGGCUCAGUGGCCAGCGUCAAUUGAGUGACCCUUCCUUACAGGGCUGUGUAGCCUACUGGCUGGAGUCAAUAAAACUGUCCACAUCUGAGGGGUUGUGUGGCCUUUUGGCCCACUGGGGAAGUGGAGCGCCGCCUAGGAGUGUGUGGUGCCUGGGGUAGGGGGACCUGGGCCCUCCCUGCUCCUCUGAGUCCCAGCCCAGGGCCCUGUCAGUGGCGAGGGUGCUCACCACUGAGUCAGUGGGGAUCCCCCCGAAACACACUGACCUGUUCUCCAGUUCUCGCCCCCUGGGCUGCUUCCUACCCUGUCUUCUUCAGAGGUGUCCCCAUGGUCUCUGGGGUCCUCGGCCGGUGCACCUCCUGAUGACUCCCUUCUCUGGAUUCCACAAACACCCUAGAAUCCGUCUGGGGCUCGGGGUGCGUUGGCUCUGUGGUUUGGGCUGGUAGCAGCUCCCGGGAGACAGCCUGCAAUCUGCACCCUUCCUGUUCAGCAGCCUGGACUGAGCAGAGCUGCUUCUUUAAUAUCUUGCCUACAGGCUGAGCAUGCCCAACAGAGGUGGAGGGGCAUGGCCUUCUCAUCCUGCAAUGCGCAGUUAACCCUUUCUGAGCCAGGAUGUGUUAGGUACACCCCAUCAUAGUGAGUAAACCCUCUGGAGCGACAUCUGCAGACAGCGAAGGUGGAGGUGAGCGAAGGCAGUGAUAUAUGUAGAGGAUGCCAUGUGGCCAAGGAGGGAUAAGCAAGUCCUGACCGGGACAGAUGGACUGUUGACUAUCCAGUCAAUGAGUUCCUGUAGAGGCUGGAACCUGUCCCUUGCUAGGUAAGCUCUGGCUGUGACCAAGCUGAUGGAGACCCCUAUGAAGACUUGGGGCUGUGUGGGAAUCAAAAUUGAUUUUUCGAUGUUGACAUUGACUCCCAGGGAGGAAAGGAGUCUGAGCAACACGGAGGUCGAGAUUCAAGCCUCGUCUCUGGAUUGCGCCGCUAGUCAAGAUGGGGAAUAUCAGGACUCCAGAGGUGGGCCGCUAUGAUACAGAAAACUUUGGUGAAGACCUGGGGAGCAGUGGUGAGCCCAAAUGGCAGAACUCUGUACUGAAAAUGCUGAAGGCCUACCAUGAACCUCAGGAAUUUUCUGUGAGUUGGAUGAAUGUCUAUGUGACAAUAGGUGUUCUGCAUAUUGAGAGCCAUAAAGCACAUGCCUUUCCUAGUAACAGCAUGAUGGCCGCUAAAGCGACCAUACGAAACUUGGCUGGCAGGUGAAGCGGUUGAGGCAACGGAGAUCCAGGAUUGGUCUCCAUCUGCCAUUCUUCUUGCGUACCAGUAAGUAAGUGGAAUAGAACCCCGUGCCCCGAUAGCUCGGGGGAACGUGCUCUCUCACUCCCCUUUGCAGUAAGUGGCCAUUUCUAAGGCAAGGAUGCUGUUGUGAGAGUGGUCCCUGAAGAGGGAUUGGGGUGGGCGAUGUGGAUGAGGUAGUGUGCUGAACUCGAUUGUGUAGCCAUAGCUGAUGGCAUCCAGGACCCACUUGUCUGUAGUUAUUGCACUCCAAGCUGGUAAGAAGAAUGCUAGAUUCACCUGAAGGGGACGCUCUAGUUGCAUGGCAGUUGGAACGGUGGUUGACACUCAGAAAUAUUGUUUCUGAGAGAUCUGAAUGUGAGAUGCUGAAGUCUGGGAAGGAGGCCUGGAGGGCGGGAUCGCUGGGUCUUCUGACACUUCCGAGGAGGUUCAUAUGGUCUCUGGUGGAAGAAUGAGGAGUCCUGAGUAGGUGCUGGGUGGUAGAAGUUACCAGAUACCCAGCGAUCGAAGUGUGACUCUAGAAUCCUUGAGGGAGUGGAGGGAAUAGUCAGUCUUCAGAUUCAACCAGUGCAACUCAUCGAACGAGAGCUCCUCGAUGGUAUUUUGCACCUCCCUGGGGAAACCGAUUUGUGGAGCCAUGAUUCCCUCCGCAUGACAAAGCCCGUGCCCGUGAAGAGGAUCCGCAGGGUCUUGAGCUGACUGUAGCGCUGUUUGCCCUCCUGCAGGACAGACUGGAACCAUACUCGACUUUGCUGAGGCACCUUUCAGUGAAGUCCUCCAACUUUCCGUAGUUGAGGAAGUCAGAUUUGGCCAGCAAGGCCUGGUAGUUUGAAAUUGGAGGCUAGCUCAAGAGAAGACCUGGAGCCUCAGAAGGUCUAAGCAUUUGCCCUCCUUAUCCGACGGGGUGGAGCAUGAGUGUUGCUGUCUGGACUGUUCUGUUGCUGCUUGCACCAAGAGGGAACUGGGUGGGGGUGUGAGAAAAGGAACUUCGACCCCUUGGCCGGUACGUAGCAUCUCUUCCCUGCCCCCUGGGAGGUAGCUGUGCAAGUGGGCAGGGUAGGCCAAACCAUAUGAGCUGGUUUGAGAAUGGCACCAUUGAUCGGCACCAAGGAAUGAAGGGUGUCAAGGACCUGGUGCUGCUCGUCUCGUACUCCCUCCAGUGGAAUAUGAAGGCCAUCCGCCACUUCACAGGAGUUCUGGGAACUGCCAAAAGUCAUCUGGAGAUGAGGUGGAGUAAGGUUACUGCAGCGGCUGGAGAGGACGAUGGGAAAUGCUCUUGCUCUGGCAGUACUGGUGGAACCGGACUGCACAGGUUGGAGUACGUGCCCGAGGGCCCCCUGAGCAGGGAGGGGGUGAAGCCCUUGUGCUCUGUUGGAAUCCUCCCAUGAUGAGAACUCAGAUCUUGGUUCCAAUGGUGGUACCGUUGGAGCCGGUGGAAGUGUGAAAACCGUAGAAGGAUGAGUUGCAGCAUGACUUGAUUGCGGUAAGUCCUGGAUAGGAGAUUGGACCUCCCUAGGUGCGGAGGGUAGAGGAAGGCAUUGAGAUCUCAGUUCUCCUAGGGCAAACAAUUCAUGUGGUUCUGGUGCUUCCUCCAAUCCACCUAGUGUUAACGGUACUCAUUCCGCAGCCAGAACCGGCACUGCAGUGGAGGACUGUCCCGGAGUUGAUGGAGCCCUUGUUUUAAGGGAGGCUGACAGAGUGUGCAUGACUGGCUGCUCGGUGCCGGUGGAGCUGCUGGUCUGCAUGAUUUUUUGUCAUGCUUGUGCACCUUGGAACGCCCCGCUUCUCCGUGGCUGGUACAUGUGGAAGGGAUGUCAUCAUUCUUAGGCUUGGAGGAAGAAUUACUGUCAUGCUUAUCACAGAAGAUUAGGGUUGGAAGAGAUCUCAGGUCGUCAUCUAGUGCAACCCCCUGCUCAAAGCAGGACCAUGGUUCCCUGCCUCCCAACUAGGCCCUGGCACAUGGUCCGUAGCAGUGGUGCCAGUGGACCAGGACUAUGUCUCCAUAGCGGGAGGCGCACUCCUGGGUUUCUCAGGCCAAUGUACGGAGCAGUUCUCUGGCCUGGUUCCAAUUAAGGACUCAUGGUGACCUUCUUGAGGCAGAGAGCCUGGCCUUCUCGGAUACGGCAUUGGAAGGACUGGCAGAUACGGCUCCUGGAUACAAUGUGGGCCUCUCCCAAGCAGCAGCGGCACCACUGCUGCUUGUCACUGACCGAGAAGGAACACAGGCAGGAGGUGCAGAUCUUGAAUCCUGGCAUCUUUGUUACAAUCCACUUUCUGCGUGUGGGUGCUGGGGUGGGAGAACCGGUAAACAGAUUCCACAAAGGCCUCAGUUCUACUAAAGCAGCAAGGAAUCCUGUGGCAUCUUACAGACUAACAAAUGUUAGUCUAUAAGGUGCCACAGGAUUCUUUGCUGCUUUUACAGAUCCAGACUAACAUGGUGUGAUGAACUAGGAAUGUUCUUAAUGUUUUCUCUGAAUACUGUGUUGGUGCCUCGGUGUCCCCUAGGCAGUUCUGAAGUAUCUGGCAGAGCAAAGGGCCAAUGCACUUAAAUGCCUGGCACUCUGUCUCCUAGCAACUGAUGGCCUGGGCCCCUCCCCUGCAAAGGUGCCAGCUGAAGGUGUUGGAGACAAAGGGAUCAGGUGACCUCCUGGCCCGGGAAAGGAGCUGAGCAGAGAGGAGGGGCUGGAGGGGGUUGUGAGUCUGGAGCUGGCUGGGGACGAGGAGUGAAGUGCAGACAUGGGGGUCUGGCUCACUGCCCCCCAGAAUGGACCCGGCCGAGGGGUCCGGCUCGCGGUACCUAUAAGCUCUGUUUUAGACCCUGUUCCUGUCAUCAAAUAAACCUCUGUUUUACUGGCUG